UACGUAGGGUGCGAGCGUUGUCCGGAAUUAUUGGGCGUAAAGAGCUCGUAGGUGGUUUGUCGCGUCUGUCGUGAAAGCCCAUGGCUUAACUGUGGGUCUGCGGUGGAUACGGGCAUCACUGGAGUUCGGCAGGGGAGACUGGAAUUCCUGGUGUAGCGGUGAAAUGCGCAGAUAUCUGGAGGAACACCGGUGGCGAAGGCGACAUCCUGGACCGGUAUUGACGCUGAGGCGCGAAAGCCAGGGGAGCAAAGCGGGG
rnacentral:rRNA from 1 species